GUCAUGUCUCUUGGAGUCUUCUCAGCAAGCCCAGAGCAAGGCGCCGCCUUCAAGGUUGCAGUAACAAUGUCCAUGACACAAUAUGGUUGUAGCUUCAGUCUGUGGUGUGCUUUGUCUGCUGUAUAGUUGAAGACGUAAUGGUCAAAUAUCGAAGUUUAGGCAUACUCUUUCCUCCCUGAGGUAUUUGUCAAGAUCUUGUGCAGGAGUUCUACAGGUUUUGGAGGACUCCUUUUCUCCAGUCUUAUCUGGGCAUCCUAUAGUCAAAGGAAAAAAAAUGCUCAGAUGCAGGAACCAGAUCUGAAGAAUCUAAGUAGCCUUUUCCUUCUGAUGGCUUGUAGUUCAUAGAUCCACACGUCUCUUUGGGAAAAUAUGUAGAUGACAACAGUACUAAUUGCAACACUGUAGACAUCUUCCAGGUUCUUUCAAGUACUGAUGGAUGCACAGGCUUCAGUAACUCAGAUCCAAGUCCUACUCGCUAUCUGUGUCUACGAUGGUUCUCUGGGAAAGUAUUGUCAGAAGAACACGCAAGAAACUUUGUGGAACUUUGCAGAGCUGUUGACAUUGAAAUGCUCUAGCUGUAUCAGGAGAGUCAGGGUGAGGGGAUGCAAGGGAGGAUGUUUAUUCUUGAGGCAAAUGUAGUGAAAAUUCUAUAAGUAUAGAAUUUUAGAGUCUUUGAAGACCAUUUUGUCUUAUUCUGUGACACUGAGGCACUCACAGGUUCAAUGUUUCAUGGAUCUUGGAAUGGAAAUUACAACUUCAGCCAUUUAUUUCUUUCUUCUUAUGUCCUGAUAUGAACAGGCUUAUGUUGAAGCAAGCCAAUGGGUAUGAGAUAAAGAAUGGGUUUUAUUAUGUUAUCUCUACUGUCAUUCUUGCUAGCUUAGCUUUCAUACUUGGCUAUGCCUGGGGAGCUGUGUGAUGUGUGAUCUUCUCCCUCUUUACCCAAUACUGCUUGGGGUCAGCACGCAGCAGCCUGAAUGAGCCUGACUGAAAUACUGGGGAUGUCCUUCUCCCACAGUCAAAGAGAUGACACAUACAACAGCAGCAGCCCUUAUCUUUGCAUGUUGGGUGUGAUCCUGUUCUUCGGAAGCUUGGGAUGCUCAGUAACUUCAUUCAGUCACAUAACACUUCUCUCUUCAGUCUUCAGAUCAUGAUGCAAAAUCAACGAGAGGAUUGAUUACUAGUGCUGUUGGAAGUUACUUUUGUUUGCUUCUCCUCUCAGGAAGAAGAGGUGUCAGUGAGAAUUCUUAUUGGCUUAAUGAACUGCUGAAAAGUAUCCAGUGUGACACUAAAAUUACUUUUUCAUGUUGAUAGGAAAAAAUAGUUCUCAGAAGCGCACUGUUGUACAUGCCUACUUCUUGAAUUUACACUAGAAACAUUUCUCUGAAGGGAAAUUAAGCUAUGAAUAUGAAAAAGAGAAAGCCAAGGAGGCCAAAAGUAUCCUGGGCUGCAUUUACAGAGGGGUGGCUGCAGGGCAAGGGAGGUGACUGUCCCUCUAUUCUGACCUCAUGAGGCCCCUGUAUCUAGGUCUGGGUCUUCCAGAACAAGAAGGAUGUGAAGGUAUUGAAGAGGGCUGAGAGGAAGACCACAAGGAUACUCAGAGGGCUGGAGCAUCUCUCCUAGGAAGAAGGGUUGAAGGAGUUGGACUUCUUCAGCCUGGGGAAGAGAAGGCUAUGGGAAGUCCUCACUGCACCCUUUCAGUACUUAAAGGAGGAGCUUAUAAACAGGAGGAUGGACCAGCUUUUUACAGAGCCUGAUAGUGACAAGACAAGGGUCAAUGGUUUUAAACCAUAAGAGGGGAGAUUUAGAUUAGG